rnacentral:rRNA from 1 species
GAUAACCGUGGUAAUUCUAGAGCUAAUACAUGCUAAAAACCCCAACUUCGGGAGGGGUGUAUUUAUUAGAUAAAAAACCAAUGCCCUUCGGGGCUCCUUGGUGAAUCAUAAUAACUUAACGGAUCGCAUGGCCUUGCGCCGGCGACGGUUCAUUCAAAUUUCUGCCCUAUCAACUUUCGAUUGUAGGGUAUUGGCCUACAAUGGUAUCAACGGGUAACGGGGAAUUAGGGUUCGAUUCCGGAGAGGGAGCCUGAGAAACGGCUACCACAUCCAAGGAAGGCAGCAGGCGCGCAAAUUACCCAAUCCCGACGCGGGGAGGUAGUGACAAUAAAUACUGAUACAGGGCUCUUUUGGGUCUUGUAAUUGGAAUGAGUACAAUUUAAAUCCCUUAACGAGGAACAAUUGGAGGGCAAGUCUGGUGCCAGCAGCCGCGGUAAUUCCAGCUCCAAUAGCGUAUAUUAAAGUUGUUGCAGUUAAAAAGCUCGUAGUUGAACCUUGGGCCUGGCUGGCCGGUCCGCCUCACCGCGUGCACUGGUCCGGCCGGGCCUUUCCUUCUGGAGAGCCGCAUGCCCUUCACUGGGUGUGUCGGGGAACCAGGACUUUUACUUUGAAAAAAUUAGAGUGUUCAAAGCAGGCCUUUGCUCGAAUACAUUAGCAUGGAAUAAUAGAAUAGGACGUGCGGUCCUAUUUUGUUGGUUUCUAGGACCGCCGUAAUGAUUAAUAGGGAUAGUCGGGGGCAUCAGUAUUCAAUUGUCAGAGGUGAAAUUCUUGGAUUUAUUGAAGACUAACUACUGCGAAAGCAUUUGCCAAGGAUGUUUUCAUUAAUCAGUGAACGAAAGUUAGGGGAUCGAAGACGAUCAGAUACCGUCGUAGUCUUAAC